rnacentral:rRNA from 1 species
GACGAACGCUGGCGGCGUGCCUAAUACAUGCAAGUUGAGCGCUGAAGGUUGGUACUUGUACCAACUGGAUGAGCAGCGAACGGGUGAGUAACGCGUGGGGAAUCUGCCUUUGAGCGGGGGACAACAUUUGGAAACGAAUGCUAAUACCGCAUAAAAACUUUAAACACAAGUUUUAAGUUUGAAAGAUGCAAUUGCAUCACUCAAAGAUGAUCCCGCGUUGUAUUAGCUAGUUGGUGAGGUAAAGGCUCACCAAGGCGAUGAUACAUAGCCGACCUGAGAGGGUGAUCGGCCACAGUGGGACUGAGACACGGCCCAAACUCCUACGGGGGGCAGCAGUAGGGAAUCUUCGGCAAUGGACGAAAGUCUGACCGAGCAACGCCGCGUGAGUGAAGAAGGUUUUCGGAUCGUAAAACUCUGUUGGUAGAGAAGAACGUUGGUGAGAGUGGAAAGCUCAUCAAGUGACGGUAACUACACAGAAAGGGACGGCUAACUACGUG